CCUACGGGAGGCUGCAGUGAGGAAUAUUGGUCAAUGGCCGAGAGGCUGAACCAGCCAAGUCGCGUGAGGGAAGACGGCCCUACGGGUUGUAAACCUCUUUUGUCGGGGAGCAAAGCGAACCUCGUGGGGGUCAUUGAGAGUACCCGACGAAAAAGCAUCGGCUAACUCCGUGCCAGCAGCCGCGGUAAUACGGAGGAUGCGAGCGUUAUCCGGAUUUAUUGGGUUUAAGGGGUGCGCAGGCGGAGAUGCAAGUCAGCGGUCAAAUUGCGGGGCUCAACCCCGUACCGCCGUUGAAACUGCAUCCCUUGAGUGAGCGAGAGGGAUGCGGAAUGCGUGGUGUAGCGGUGAAAUGCAUAGAUAUAACGAAGAACUCCGAUUGCGAAGGCAGCAUACCGGCGCGCAACUGACGCUCAUGCACGAAAGCGUGGGUAGCGAACAGGAUUAGAUACCCGAGUAGUC
rnacentral:rRNA from 1 species